UCAUCCUGCAGACCAAAACACAACAACAAAAAAACAGUUGCUGGGCUUUUUAACUGGCAUCUUGCUACAGAUCUCACGGUUCAGAGACUUCUUCAUGACCUUAACUAAAGUAGAGGAAGGUGGAAAAUCUGGAUCCUUCAGAACUAUAGCAGAAGGAACAUCCAAACUUCAAUUCUGCCAGAGCUGCUUCUUUAUUGGAGACCAUUGUUUGCAAAUGUUUCCAGGCAUUGAAUAUUUUGGCAGUAGAGCCAGCAAAUACAGUAGCACUUAGACGGCUUGGCACCUUGAUUCAACCUCAAUCAUGAAUAAAGCAGAAGGAUAAA